CACAAGGAAAGCACCAGAUCCCCAGCUCUUAUACAUCAGCUCCCAUCAGCUGAUGCCUGUGCUGACUAGCAUCAUAAGAAGAAAGAUAAGAGGAGAGAAAGUGCCAUCGACCCACCCAGAGAGAGCAACGGCAAUUGUGCUCUCUCUGACUCCGGCUGCUGAUGGCGAGCAGCAUUAUCUGGAAUUGCUUGGAUCACUCAAAGCCCUAAAACACCUUUUUUGUGUUUCUCCAGAGGAAUUUCACAGAGUUGAAGUGCAAUGUCAAGACAGUCUGCCUGGUGAGGGUGUUUGCUUGGCCAGAAAGCAGAUGGAUCUACAACGCUUAGCCUCCAUAGCAACGUCCAUAGCAACAACAAAUGUGUCAGUCCCCUCAUUACCCUAUCUUCUACUGCUGUGGCUCAUAUGGAGAAGAGGAACCCUGAUGAGUCUCAUCGCCAUAACUGAUGACAUGCUGCUGGUUUUUACAACCAUGAAAACUGAACGAAUACUGGUCCCAAGGGCUCGCACAGUAGCUGAUGCAAGUAAACCUCACGCCUUCUUCAGUUCUUCAGUCAGGCUGAGAAGGAUGGGUGAAGUAUCCAAAUGAUAUGCUGGCUUUUGUGCCUUUUGUGUUUUACAUAAGCAGUAAAUAUGGAGAAAAUGUAAAUGUGAACGCUGA
rnacentral:lncRNA from 1 species